GGGGGUAUAGCUCAGUGGUAGAGUGCUUGUCUAGCAUAUGUGAGGCCCUGGAUUCCAUUCCUAGUACCACAA
rnacentral:tRNA from 1 species